UGGAUUAUGAAGAUAAAUUAUAUAAUCUGGUUUAUAAAAAUAAUCUAGAUGAACAUGUUUGGAGGCCAGAUUAUAUAAACUGUAAUUCAGGUUUUACAUUGCAUAAUGACCUAUCUACCAUCUGUUUUUUUUAAAGAAGAGGGUAGCGGUGGUAGAAAUGUUAUUAUCUCCAACUUUACAAGGGUAAUGGGUCAUUAGCAAUCCAUAAUCUGAUUUUAGCUGGUAUAGAGUAGAUUAUGAGUUUUUAAUAAUCUAUCCAUCUAAUUUUUAUAAUCUACACUAUAAGUUGUCCUGUUUGGAAACAUAAUAGAUUAUAAAAACUGGAUUAU
rnacentral:lncRNA from 1 species